rnacentral:rRNA from 1 species
AUGGAUGGUUACAAAUUGAUCUGGUCCGGAUGGGCCCCUGGCAAGUGCCGGUUCUUCAUGUGGACUGUCAUGCUCGGCAGAAUUUUGACUGCUGAUGCGCUUUUGCGUCGCGGAUGGGAAAAUGAUUACUUCUACCCGCUUUGUGAGCGGAGUUUAGAAACCCCAUCUCAUCUUCUCAUCGAGUGCCCUUGGUCCAGAACCAUUUGGGAGUCCUUGGCCACGCUUGCAGAUAUGCCUGCUCUCUGCCCGGCGAAUUGGACAGGCGACACUAAGUUUGCACGUUGGAUUCAGAGAUGCCACGAUAGCACGGCGAGGGAAAAGAAAAAGGGACUACUUUCCUUAGUGCACAUGAUUGCUUGGGAAAUUUGGAAGGAGCGGAAUCGACGGAUCUUCCAAAAGGAGUUCUUGUCUCUGGAAAGCUUCAGGCGUAAGAUUAGGGACGAGAUCAGGUUGUGGAAUUUGGCAGGUGCUGGGAUACCCUUUGAUCCGGGCUGA